rnacentral:lncRNA from 1 species
CGCGCCGUGUAUCCAGAAGACAACUUCAUCGUGAUUCCUGCCAAAUCCACCGCGCACGCUGCCCGCGCCGUCUCUUGUUCUAUUUUUUUUAUUUUUUUACGGAACGCGCACGCUGCGACAGGAACUUACUAGAAUUGCACAGAAAAAGGUCCACAAAAAGUUGUUGGAUCACGAACGGGUGGAUAAGGCCGUAAACAGGCCGGCCCGUCCGUCCUCAACUGCAAUAUUUCCACUUCACGUGUCUGUGCACGUAGGCCAUGUAGGCUGCUCCAAUUCUACGUCGCUCGCCAGAACGGUGGGCUGUAGGGCGGCCUUAAGUGCCCGUUACCCAUAUUCAUAUGAUUUGGGGUAAUUUCCUAACAAAAUUGAUUUACGUAGGCUAUGGUGAAAAAAAUUAUAGACCCAUUAAAAUGGCAUGGAAAGGAUAAUACACUGUUAUUCAUAGGUUUAUGUUUACGAAAAACCUUUUUUGGGGUGACCAGGCAUG